AACCUGAGGACCGUAUGCUGUGUUUGGAUAGGUAACACGCAACGGUGUUCGGGUCCA
rnacentral:pre_miRNA from 1 species